CCCGCUCAGUUAGACUCUCUAGAGAACGAAAUCUCCGUUCGUUCACUCAAGCCUCACCCUCACAUAGUGCGGUUCCUCGGCGACGGAGUCUCGAAAGAAGGGAUGACGUCGUUUCGCAACCUCCACUUAGAGUAUCUCCCAGAAGGUGACGCGGCUAAAAACGGAAUCGACGAGACUCUCCUACGGCGUUACGCGGCGUGUCUCAUCUCCGCUCUCCGCCACGUCCACUCGCGAGGACUCGUUCACUGCGACGUCAAGGCAAGUAACGUACUCAUUGUAGGACCGCGAAAAUCCUGAUUGAAAAUUACUAAACAAAAAAGCAUAUAACCGAUAAUAUAAAGACUUACAACGUUUAGACGAAUUCACGGAGUCGAGAUUUGAUCUUUCGUGCCAUGCAACCUUAAUUUCCUCUAAAUUUUAAAUUAUCCUUUCUGUUUUUUUGUUCUGUUUUCAAAACAACUAAUGAACUACUCAUUCGAUCAUAGUAGCAUUUCGCAUAGAUCAAGUUAUAGAUUUUAUUCUAUAUAUAUAAUAUAACAUAAUCGUUAAAGUCCAUAACCUGACCAUCGAACAUCGUAGAAUUUGUGAAAAAAAUGUUAGUGAUAGACACGAGAGCUUGGGUUUUACAUGACAUAAACACGUGGAAGAUUAGUAAAAAAGAUGAGACUUUGCAAAUCGAAAGGACGAUUGUCAAUGUUAGCAACAAAAAACAAUUGCAACUUUAUUUCACGUUCACAUUUUCUGUCUUAAAUUUCGAAAACACACAUAUAAAUAGCUUCGUGUUUUGUAAGGACGACAUAUGAAAGUUGGCAAACAUGGAGAAACAGAGCAUCACACACAAGUCACACUUCUUCUUCCUCUUCUUCAAUGUCAUCUUCUUGGAUCCGUGGUACGUGCAUCAGAAGAGGUAGUUUCGGUACAGUUAGCACGGCGAUUAAUAAAACAGACGGUGAAGUUUUCGCCGUGAAGUCCGCGGAUCUCGCCACGUGUCUUCCCGCUCAGUUAGACUCUCUAGAGAACGAAAUCUCCGUUCGUUCACUCAAGCCUCACCCUCACAUAGUGCGGUUCCUCGGCGACGGAGUCUCGAAAGAAGGGAUGACGUCGUUUCGCAACCUCCACUUAGAGUAUCUCCCAGAAGGUGACGCGGCUAAAAACGGAAUCGACGAGACUCUCCUACGGCGUUACGCGGCGUGUCUCAUCUCCGCUCUCCGCCACGUCCACUCGCGAGGACUCGUUCACUGCGACGUCAAGGCAAGUAACGUACUCAUUGUAGGACCGCGAAAAUCCUGAUUGAAAAUUACUAAACAAAAAAGCAUAUAACCGAUAAUAUAAAGACUUACAACGUUUAGACGAAUUCACGGAGUCGAGAUUUGAUCUUUUUCCUUAACUCAAAAAUCGUCCGUAAUGUGUAACGGUUUUAUGCGAUUUUUGAAUCUUAGAAUACAACCGUGAUGAGACCGUUUUGCAACACCCGAAACAGAAUCUACGGACUAACUACUACGAUAUAUUCUCGAGACACUUACUUUAAAAAAUAAAAUCUAAAGAGUAUUUUUUCUAGUGACAGAAAGUGGUAGUUAGAGAGAUGAUUGUGUGAGUUGUGAGAU
rnacentral:lncRNA from 1 species